CAUAGCUUUGUAUGCCUUCUGUCUGUCCUUUCUCAAUAGCAAGCUGAAGACAGAGGGUUGGUAGAAUGCACACUUACCAAGCAAGAGGCAGAAGGAAGACUCGAGGUGCUUGUGGGACUGCGUGCAGUUUUCAUCCGGAGGAUGGUGGCUUUGGGGAGAAGAGCUUUAGACAAUCUAAGCAAAGCAGGGGCAUGGAGAAGUCUGACGGAGGAAGAGCGCUGGCCUUGGGUUUGACCUUCCGAUCCCUCAGAAACAUAAGGACGGAGCAGCAGAGGGGUGCGGCUCUCAAGCUGGAAGCGUGCACCUUCCCCUCAGCCCGCGGUUCCGCAGCACAGUCGGGAGGGUAGCUCUCCCACGUGCUGCUCCCACAGCCAAGAAAGCAGGACUUGGAGAGUCCUGUGACCCAGCCAGCCUCUGGGUCAAGAGCUGGAUAAAGAAGUGGAGGCGGAGAGAAACGGGGACCCUGCCCUGUGCCACCGAGGCCACAGUGAGUCACUUCACCACUGCAUGCAUGCUGGGUGCUACCUAUCCACAGAACACCACAGACGUGCGAGAUGAACAGAAAUGAGACAGAGGCAGAAUAAGGUUGGGAGAAUAAGGAACUGAAGCAAUGCUCCCGACGGCCAUGUUAACAACUGUGGGAGGUGGAGAGCUGACUGCGUGAGUAAGGCUGGUCGCCUGAGUGCUCAUAUCUCUGUUCCCCAGCAGCAGGGUGAACCCAGUGAUUUUAGGUGAUUCUCCAAGGGGCUGAAGCGUUCUGAGCUCGUGGAGUAUGCUCUCCAGAAGGAACUGGGGGGAGCAUUUUACAAAGAGAUGGAGGGGCUGGAGGGACGGCUCAGUGUUUAAGAGCACUGGCUGCUCUUCCAGAGGACCUGGGGAGACUCUCAGCACUACAUGGUAUCUCACAGCCAUCUUUAACUCCAGUUCUAGGGAGAUUCGGCACCUUUUUUCUGGUCUCCUAGGGCAGCAGGCAUGCACAUGGUGCACAGACCUACAUGUAAGCAAAAUACCCAUAUGUGUAAAAAUGAUAUUAAAUCUUUAGAAGAAGUGAA